UCCCUGGUGGUCCAGUGGUUAAGACUCUGAGUUUCCAAUUCAGGGGGCCCAGGCUAUAUCCCUGGUCAAGGAA
rnacentral:tRNA from 1 species